rnacentral:misc_RNA from 1 species
GAUGAAGAACGUAGUGAAAUGCGAUACGUAAUGUGAAUUGCAGAUUUCAGUGAAUCAUCGAAUCUUUGAACGCACAUUGCGCCCGCCAGUAUUCUGGCGGGCAUGCCUGUUCGAGCGUCAUUUCAACCAUCAAGCCUUCGCUUGUGUUGGGGCCCCGCGGCUGCCGCGGUCCCCUAAAUCCAGUGGCGGGCUCGUCGUCGUACCGAGCGCAGUAGACAUCCUCGCUCCGGGAACCCGACGGGUGCCGGCCGUGAAACCCCCCACAUCAAGGUUGACCUCGGAUCAGGUAGGAAUACCCGCUGAACUUAAGCAUAUCAAUAAGCGGAGG